ensembl:miRNA
GGGUUGGUUGUUAUCUUUGGUUAUCUAGCUGUAUGAGUGGGGUCAAGUCUUCAUAAAGCUAGAUAACCGAAAGUAAAAA